AAGUGAUCCAGAUGCCCUGAGAAGGAGGAGCGGGACCAGAAUGGACAUUCUUCUUGGAAAAUCAGAGGACAAGAAAGAUCCAAACCAAGGAGGAGCUAAGCCUAACACGGGCUUCGAGGGAGCAGGAAGUCUGGGUCCCUUUGGCGUCCUGCCUGGGGUUGUCCUGGCUGCCACCCUCACCAGCCUCUCUGAGCGGAAGAACCAGGUGCGGUGCCAUGGACUCGAUGACAAUGGGAACAAGAAAGGACCUUGGGG